UCCCUGGGUCCAAAUCAAGCUGUCCAUGGAACAUACUAACAACUCCCCUUCCAGCAUCCGCAUGGACACCGAGCCCUGCCUCAGUGCCAUGAGCCUCCCUGUGGGCUGCGUGACCAGGAAGCUUCUAUUAUCCUGCUCUCCACACUUCAUGUUAGCAGUUUCAUCAGGCCUUCAGUUCUUCCUGAGAUCAAUAAAGCUUAAAAGAAAAGAAAAAGCCAACUCAGCUUGUGCGUGGAUCCCGGACCUUGCUCUAAUACAGACCCCUCUCCUGGAGUGUCAGCCACACUUGACGGCUCAGCUUUCUUGUCACUAAUGAGUUGGGAUGUGGUUGUGCAUUCACAAUCCAGCAAGAGCUAAGUAAGUGCACUUGGAUCCACACCACUGAUUACACACAGUUAGAAAGAAAUUUCUUUUCAAGGGCCUGUGGAAGAGGAGAGGCGAGAGAGGUGUAUGGGAUUUCUGGUGUGUGCCGUGCUUCCUCUGAAGCGUGGCUGCCGACCCGUCCACAGGGGCCAUCAGAGAUGAAAUCACACAGAUGCAACGGAAGGGAAAAUAGCCAAAGGAGACAACAGCAACAACUCGAGUGGAACAGAGGAUGAAGAGAUCAGCACCGGCUAAAUCAUCACUGUCAGAUAAAAGAUAAAUCUUUCAUUAGGAAACAUAUCUUUGCAUGCCCUUCUGACAUUGAAGAAUAUAUUUGAUGUAAGGAUUUGGGGCUUUAUUGAAACUGUAAUAUGC